AGUAAUGACUCAGUGGUAGAGCAUUUGCUUGGCAUGCAGAAGGUCCCAGGUUCGGUCCCUAGCAUCUCUG